UGAUAUGUGCGCGUUAAGGAUAUCGACAUCCGCCGAACGAGUUUUUCCAGUCCGUAUCAUCGCAAUAUCACGGUUAUUAUUGAAACGCGCGCUGCGGUCGCGACAGUACCAACAUACCUGGCAUGCCUAGUUGUGAAGCUACGACUUUCCAUGCCAUUGCAGACUCUUUUUUGUUGAACACCCUGACAGAGGUACGGCAACGGCGGCAUGCGGGGUACUGGUGAAACAGCGCGCACCCCUCCCCUCGGGCCGCACACACGCGCGGUGCGUUCCACAGAGGCGCGCGGGGAUCGGCGCGACGGACGAACUUCGAUGGUCGCGCGGUCGCCUUCUAUCAGGACGAAACGUAAAGGUGACGAGCAUGUACUCGCGAAGCAAGCGCCGCUCACGGUGCCUUGUCAAUUUUAUUGUCAUUAAUAACUUAAUUCAGAAACAUAGUAGGUAUUUAUGCCAAAGCUAUUUAGUAAUCUGCGGUAAAAGGUUAUUUCUUUAUUAAUGCACUUUAUUAAGAAAGUCCCUAAUAUAACGACGGUUGGACAGCGACUAUUCAUUAAUUUACAAUUAUAAAUAUUAUGUAAUUAGAUAUAUGUAAAUACAUGUCUGUAAUCACAUAUACACAUAACAUACCUUCUUUUACUAUUUUGAUACAAUCUCAUCAGUCCCGUUAUUUAUGUAUACGAUUUUUUUCGGUAAUUUAAAUAUCACAUGUGAUAAAAGCUAAGUAUACCUAUACCUUGCCAAAUACCUACAAAAAUAUGUAUGUAUAAAAAUGCUAUGUAUUCAAUAAAAUAUUUAUAUGCC